ensembl:lncRNA
AUUUUAGCCAUGCCUUCCUCUAAGAACUGAGGCAGAUAUCUGACCCAAAACGCUGACCUUGAACCGCUGAGUUUGAAGAGUGCACGGAUCAGAACAGGCUCUUAUAGUGAUGCAUUGUCAAAUGAUUUUACCUAUAGCUGGAGCUGCUGGCUCUUCCUGCUAUAUUUUAUGGUUUAUUGUGAAGCUGCUAAUUUCUUGCAUCCUGAUAAAAAGCGUUCUGAAGGUCUCUCAUCUAAUCUCUGCAGUGACAGCUGCACUUGCAGUGCAUCAGCCACUCAGCUAUUGCUGUUACCUCAUUUUAUUCAAGAGCUCAUCUAUUUGUAUCAUUUGCAAUAUAAUUUAAAAAUGCUUUUUUUACUUGAGUAGACAAAAUGGUGUAUGACCUUUAGGUCGAGAAAAUGCAGUAUAUUACGGAGAAAGAUAUUGAUUUUAUAUGUGUUAAUGAUUAAAAGACCUCAGUCUAUAACUCUUAUAACAAUCUAUAAAUCUUAUACACAAGCAUAGUGCCAUUUUCUUUGUCAAAUGAUUU